rnacentral:rRNA from 1 species
AUGAAGAAGAAUCUGCAGUUGCCUCAAACCAAGGAGAAGAUGGUGAGUGCAGAUGCUGAAGUAAAUAUGGUCAAGGAAGCUGUGCUUCAAACUGAUAUGCCAACUGUAGUGAGCAGAGAGCCAACCACCAUCACAGGAGUUCAACAGAUCAAGGGGAAGAAUCCCCUUUCAACAGUCCCACCAAAACCACCUAAGCAGCAAAAGAUUGUCAAGUUUGCCAGGGGCACAAAGGGGGAACAUGCCACAAAAGGGGUGCCAAGUUCUGCUAGAUUGCUGCCAACUCAGACUGGAAAGAUGCCAACUACAGAUACCAGUGUGCCAACUGAUGUGUCAGUUAGCAGCGUAGUCACAGUCAAAACCACCACAGCUGCUCAGGAAGGCACCACUACAACUGCAAGCCCCAAGGUGCCUACUCAUAGAGAUGCUUCAAUGCCAAACACAAAAGGAGGUGAUCCUACUACCAAAGUGCCGUCCCCAAGAGCUAGCACAUAG